rnacentral:rRNA from 1 species
UCCUACGGGACGCAGCAGUGAGGAAUAUUGGUCAAUGGGCUUACGCCUGAACCAGCCAAGUCGCGUGAGGGAAGACUGCCCUAUGGGUUGUAAACCUCUUUUGUCAGGGAGCAACGCCGGCUACGUGUAGCCGGACUGAGAGUACCUGAAGAAAAAGCAUCGGCUAACUCCGUGCCAGCAGCCGCGGUAAUACGGAGGAUGCGAGCGUUAUCCGGAUUUACUGGGUGUAAAGGGCGUGUAGCCGGGCUGACAAGUCAGAUGUGAAAUCCGGGGGCUCAACCCCCGCACUGC